AAUUACACAGAAAUACACUUCGAUUUAACAGAACCCUACCAGGUCAGCUUGGGAGACAGAAAAUAAGUUGCCUUAAAUGUAAAUAGGUGUAAUUACGUUUUUAUUCCUAAAUUCUAACCGAUUUUCUAAAAUUCAAGCGUCCCUUUCGUCCUGCAGACCUCACUGUGGUUGCUAAAUAAUUAUGCCCGGACAGAAAAAAUAAAAACAAAACAAAAAAAAAAAAACCAAACAAACAAAUGAGGAAAUAGAGGUAAACUGAGGUGCACCGAUAGCAAGGGUCCAGACACCUGCCAUGACCCCACCCUCAUUCCAAUGUGCAGGGGUGAGGCCUGGAGCGAAGCAAUGCCUGGUCCCAGCUCACUGGCCCUUAGAGAUGACCACAGAUCCAGGGACUCCGCCCGGCGGCCAAGGGCAGCGGCCUGGUCAGGCGCUGCGGGCGCAGUACUCGGGAAGAAGCCAGGCUCUCUCAGAGAGAGACAGGAGAACAUUUUUACCAUCUUCCUGCAGUGGGACUUAGACAAAGGAAUAACGAACUGCAGAGCUGAGUGAAGCCCUGCACCUCCAGCUGAAGUUCAAGCCCAAGUGAGUCUAACAUCUCAAUUACAAGACACGGAGAAAGCAUGCCAGCCAGCCAAAACCGCCUGAAACCGAGGGAAGUCAUGAGGAAGCAGAAAGAGCAAACAAGAAGUGGAGUGACGCCAUAAACUCUCAGAGCCCGCCCUGCAAGGAGUCGAAGUCCUGAGUGGCUGAUGUCACUCAAUCCUGAGUGCACUCACGACACAGGCUCAGACAUGGCGGUACUAAGGCCUCAGACCUAUGGGAAUUGGCAAAGCCUCUCACCAUAUGGGCCAGGCUUGUCCCUCCAGUCCAAGCACCUGUGUCUACGGAGGACUGAACACUGCGUAAACAAAAACUAGCAACUGUGGCUUCUUCCUCAUGGAUGUUCACUGCCUGAGGUUGCUCACCUACAGAGGACUUCCUGCCAAGACUAGCUAACCCCUCUCCUGUGUGGAACCUAAUAAAUGGAUCUUGGUUGUGGAAGUAGUAGGUAUGGCUCUUGGAGCUCACAGACCACUUGACUCCA
rnacentral:sRNA from 1 species